GUGGGGAAUAUUGGGCAAUGGAGGAAACUCUGACCCAGCGACGUCGCGUGAGUGAAGAAAUCCCUCGGGAUGUAAAGCUCUGUUGUACGGGAAGAUGAGAAAGACGGUACCGUACGAGGAAGCCCCGGCAAACUACGUGCCAGCAGCCGCGGUAAUACGUAGGGGGCGAGCGUUGUCCGGAAGUACUGGGCGUAAAGCGCACGCAGGCGGAUUGGUAAGGCCGGUGGAAAAGGCUGCGGCUAAACUGCAGUUUAACGCCAGAUACUGUCAGUCUAGAGUAUGUGAGAGGGAAGUGGAAUUCCCGGUGUAGCGGUGAAAUGCGUAGAUAUCGGGAGGAAAACCAGUGGCGAAAGCGGCUUCCUGGCACAAGACUGACGCUCAUGUGCGAAAGCUAGGGGAGCGAACGGGAUUAGAUACCCCGGUAGUCC
rnacentral:rRNA from 1 species